rnacentral:rRNA from 1 species
CCUACGGGCGGCAGCAGUGAGGAAUAUUGGUCAAUGGGCGUUAGCCUGAACCAGCCAAGUAGCGUGAAGGAUGACUGCUCUAUGGGUCGUAAACUUCUUUUAUAUGGGAAUAAAGUGCAGUAUGUAUACUGUUUUGUAUGUACCUUAUGAAUAAGGAUCGGCUAACUCCGUGCCAGCAGCCGCGGUAAUACGGAGGAUCCGAGCGUUAUCCGGAUUUAUUGGGUUUAAAGGGAGCGUAGGCGGCUUGUUAAGUCAGUUGUGAAAGUUUGUGGCUCAACCGUAAAAUUGCAGUUGAUACUGGCGUGCUUGAGUACGGUAGAGGUAGGCGGAAUGCGUGGUGUAGCGGUGAAAUGCAUAGAUAUCACGAAGAACCCCGAUUGCGAAGGCAGCCUGCUGGACUAUAACUGACGCUGAUGCACGAAAGUGUGGGUAUCAAACAGGAUUAGAUACCCCUGUAGUC